UAGCUCCCCCUACUGCCUUUAAUGCCAUUUGCCAGAAUCCACCACGCCCGAAGAAAUAUGUUCAAUCACAGCCAGGGGGCGUCUCUCCACUCUGUCAAUCAUCCGGGUAUGAGCUGGUCAAGACCAAGCUCAUGUCUUCGAAACUAGGAGCUAGCAGCAGAAGCGGAGUUAGUUGGAAAACACUGUGGCAGAGAAACGCCAAGCAUCGCAAAAACUGCACACCUCCUUUGCCAGAAACUGCAUAUACGACAAAAAACACGAGCAAAAACGGUCUAAAAAGAAGGAAGUAGAUCGAGCAGAUGUAAACAUCGGAGCGGCUCCACAGAAGCAGCAAGACCGAAAGGGCUCACAAACGAGGGGUUCUGCUUGACCGCAGCGUUUCAAGACGAGGUGAAGUUCCCGUGUGUUUUGACGAAGCAAGACUCCACUUUGGCCAUGGGUAAAAGCAAAAUGCACAUUGCCCCUGCGUUGAAACCAAGCAGUAAAAGAUGAACAGCACAUGCUGACUUUGCUGGGGGAACAACUGAGGAAGGAAUAUUCAGC